rnacentral:rRNA from 1 species
CUCUUUNGCAGGGAGGAAGCGAAAGUGACGGUACCUGCAGAAAAAGCACCGGCUAACUACGUGCCAGCAGCCGCGGUAAUACGUAGGGUGCAAGCGUUGUCCGGAAUUAUUGGGCGUAAAGAGCUCGUAGGCGGUUUGUCGCGUCUGCUGUGAAAUCCCGAGGCUCAACCUCGGGCCUGCAGUGGGUACGGGCAGACUAGAGUGCGGUAGGGGAGAUUGGAAUUCCUGGUGUAGCGGUGGAAUGCGCAGAUAUCAGGAGGAACACCGAUGGCGAAGGCAGAUCUCUGGGCCGUAACUGACGCUGAGGAGCGAAAGCGUGGGGAGCAAACAGGAUUAGAUACCCUGGUAGUCCAAGGGCGAAUUC